UAACGAUGAAGAGUUUGAUCCUGGCUCAGGAUGAACGCUAGCGGCAGGCCUAACACAUGCAAGUCGAGGGGUAGAAAUAGCUUGCUAUUUUGAGACCGGCGCACGGGUGCGUAACGCGUAUGCAAUCUACCUUA
rnacentral:rRNA from 1 species